AACGAACGCUGGCGGCGUGGAUUAGGCAUGCAAGUCGAAUGACGGGCCUCCUUCGGGAGGGAAACCGAAUGGCAAACGGGUGAGUAAUGCAUAGACAACCUACCUUAGAGCGGGGGAUAGCGGCUGGAAACGGCCGGUAAUACCGCAUAACACCAUCAUUUCGCAUGGAGAGAUGGUCAAAGGGGGCGCCUUCGGGGCUCUCGCUUUUUGAGGGGUCUAUGUUGUAUCAGCUUGUUGGUGGGGUAAUGGCCCACCAAGGCGAAGACGCAUAGCCGGGCUGAGAGGUUGGCCGGCCACACUGGGACUGAGACACUGCCCAG
rnacentral:rRNA from 1 species